CACGUAGGGAGCAAGCGUUGUCCGGAUUUAUUGGGCGUAAAGAGCUCGUAGGUGGUUCGGUAAGUCAGGUGUGAAACCUCCAGGCUCAACCUGGAGACGCCACUUGAUACUGCUGUGACUGGAGUCCGGUAGGGGAGCGUGGAAUUCCUGGUGUAGCGGUGAAAUGCGCAGAUAUCAGGAGGAACACCAGCGGCGAAGCGGCGCUCUGGGCCGGAUACUGACACUGAGGAGCGAAAGCGUGGGUAGCAAACAGG
rnacentral:rRNA from 1 species